UCAGUCAGAUACUGACGUGCCCCGUAGUGUGCGCGGAUUUCCGGUCUUCUGAGCUAUUGAAGCGUUUUUUCUCGCAUUCGCGUCGUUGGAAAAAAGCAUCCUGCGUACCAUCGGAUAUAACAAUUUUUUUAAAGCCAGCUUUCACAUUUGGGCCAGGGAAUCGUUAAUCGAAUGGCAGCAUAAUUAAGUGCGUGGCGCCCAGCCAGAAAUUCCAAUGCCCCGCCCACGCAGCAACGGUUGCAACAUCGUUGACCGCCAGACAAGUGCAAAUCACUGCUCGUAGCAUCGGUUUAAAAUCCCAAAGGCACUCCGGGUUGUCCCACCGCAUCCUUGGCAGCAUCCUAGCAGGGAUUGGCUUUCAGGAAACCUGUUCCUCGUGUCCUCCCAUGGAAGAUCUGGAACCGGAAACGGAAACGGUAAAUGUAAAGGGAACAGGAACUGGAACAAGAGCAGCCCAGUGAACGGAAACGAAACCGAUUGCGCAAAAGGACUCAACGCAUCCGCAAGGCAUGGACACCGCUGCUGCCGCCGCCGUUGUUGUCGCCGUUGACCUGAGUCCCACGAGCAACGGAAAGACGCCGCUCCUUAGCAGCUCUAAGACUAGUUACGCUCUCGUUACCGGAUCCGGAUCCGGAUCAGGAUCGGGAUCGGGGUCAGGGUCAGGGACAAUUCCUGCCCCAGCAACUGGAGCAGCCUGCGAUUGCUUGGGCAGCACUGUGGAGGCCAUGUCGGUGACACCGCCACCGACUCCACCCUCUCGUUCAGGGGAUAGUCAUGCCAUGGAGUCCUGCAGUAGCGUCAAAGAGGCCGGAGCACCAGGAGCCGCAACAGCAUCACCAGCAGUCGAAACCAGAACCACUCAGGACUCAGCAAGCAAUCCCGCCACAUCACAGUCUUCCGCCAACGCUUCCACAACGCCAACGUCUGCCUUGCUUGCCACAGCCACAGCCACAGCAACCGCUACACCGGGAUCGGGAAUGGGAACUAGUACGGUAACGGGAACAGCAACACCAGCCACAGAUCAACAUUCGCCGGCAGUCAUCACCCCCACGACUAGUCCGCCACCUAGUGUGGGCCAGCUGCUCCAUUGGCAGGACAUGCCCCAGUACCUGCAGUUCAAUCCCUAUGUGUUGCGAGGAUACCGGCCCCUGCAAACCUUCAAGGGCUGCCUCCUCAGCCUCUUCUACUGGCACAACGAGACCAUCAACAUUCUGACACAUGCCAUACCUAUCUUCUAUAUCCUGGCAAUUGUGCCCGGCCUGAUGCCCUGGGACAGCGGCUACAAGUUUCUAUCGUUCUGCCACGUCUUCGGAUCGGUGGCACCCUGGUGCGGCAGCUUCGUCUACCACUUGUUCAUGAACAUCGAGAAAGGAGAGAACGUCUACUACACACUCCUCAAACUGGACAUGGUCGGCAUCUGGGUGAGCCAGAGCUUUGGUGCCUUGCCUCUAGUCACAGCCACUACUCUCUGUUUUCCGCCGGUUCUGAAGUGGCUCAUCAUCAUCUCCUAUUGCGUGCUCUCCCUCUGGGGUCUCUAUAAGGCCCUGACCGCCAGCUCGCCCUGGCAGCGACGCUUGUGCUUCGCCCUGCCCUUCGCCAUGCGCUCCAUCCUGACCUUCCUGCGCAUCCGGGGAAUGGUGGGCGGCAGCCACAUGGCCCUCUCCCAUGUCUACCUGCAGGUGCGUAUGUCCAGGCAUUCCAAUUGACUAACUGCUAUUUUCUAUAACUUAAAAACCUUUUUGGGCUGGCCUCUCUCUCUCUCGGUGCGCAUAGGUUGAAGUUGACGGCGUCUCCAUACUGGGCGGUGCCAUCGGCGCGAUGCGCAUCCCGGAGAAGUGGUUUCCCGGCGUGGUCGAUUUCUAUCUCAAUUCCC
rnacentral:misc_RNA from 1 species